CUGGUUCAUCCUAAUUGAAAAAAGAGAAUCAAAAUGAUUAGACAGGAUUUGCAGAAGAUUCAAUUAGAUUUGUGUAGAAAGAAAACUGAUGUUGUUCCAAACAUAUCAAGAAGAUGCAUCUUAUGCUCAAAAGCAUCUUAAGAAAAGUCUAUCAGACACAUACACAUGCACAUAUACAAUUGGGAAGAGAAUAAAUUAAAAUGGAGUCAAGGGGUUGCCACAUGCCAGCAGCUACAUUAUUUGAGCAUAAUAUAAGAAACAUAAA
rnacentral:misc_RNA from 1 species